CAUUCUGAUGAAAUGAUUAAUAUUAAACCUCCACACCUGCCUCUAAUUACCAAUCCCUGUCUGUUUACUGUCCUCCUGCACACUGUCUUUAGCUUCGUAAUGCUCCCUUCACGUCAAUGCAAAUCCUCCUUGCUGUUGUCGGUGCCAACAUGCUGUUGCCGCCGCCUCUCUGACCUUCUGAGUCAGCUUUAAUUCAGCCCUUCUCUGCCUUUCCCCUUACUGCUGCUUCUCUCAAAUCCCAUCUCUCUCUCUCUCCCCCCAGGAGAAGAACUUGGAGUGGUUCCCCCGCAUGAGAGCCAUUUCUCUGGUGAGCAGCGAAGGAGACAACGAGCAGAAUGAGAUGCGCUCUCUGCAGGACAAACUGGACGGCACUGUCACUCUGGUGUCUCAGCUGUCUGGCCAGCUGGCUGAGCUAAAGGAGCAGAUGACAGAACAGAGGAAGAACAAGCAGAGGCUCGGGUUCCUGGGUCCUCUUCAGCCCAACCAUCACACAAAUGCCCACUGAGGGGCUCAAGGCUCAAACAGGACACACACUUCAGCCUAAAGAACAAUACAUGUGCUCAGAUUAUUGAUGAGAAAAAGCAAUGGGGCCAGAAGUGUUGACACAUCAUUUUUGACAUAGUGUUUUUUCUAUGAAACAAUGACUGUCUUAUGGGAUACAAACUGUGCCUUAUGUGCUCACUCUGCUGCUAGCAGCGGGCUUUACUGGCCGUGUGUACACACCCUCGUACAGAGGAGCUCUGUCAAUGAUUGGCCAGCCGCAGCACACAUCUGCCAGUGCUGUGUUAUUGUGCCAGACAGAGGUCGAGGGAAAUGUUAAGGUAAGGUUAAUGGUUAAGUGCUGUUAGGUCUGCGGACGAUCACAUCUCAUUCCUCGACUGUCCACAGUGCUGAUGUGUCAGAAAGGGGACAGAUAGGCCGCACCCUCUGUGAUUGGAGGUGUUUGAGGAACUGCUUUGUUAUGCCGUCAGGGGAAGAGUGUGUGUGCAAACAUUAAGUAUUCUUCCCUUUACCUUUUUAGUUUUCUGAUGGUAUUUAUGAGAACAUUUACGGUUCAUUACUGGAGUAUUAUUUUUGCCUUUUGGAAAAAGUAUGAUGCUGCCUCACUCAUUAACUUUUCUUAACAGUAAAUUGCAACUGCUGAAAGUGCACUUUUUAAAGAAGAAAAGUGCAAAAAUUUAAGCCUUUAACUGGAACUUUUGGUUAGUUGGGUUGGGGUAUUUUUUGCAUGCUCUGUUCUGUGGUAAAAAUGCAUUUGCUGCACAUUUCAGUUGCCUUGUUUUUAAAUAGAUUUCUACAGAGUAUAUCAAUAACUUAAUGUGAAUUAAAAAUAAUUAUUACCUUUGAAGAACUUACUUGAAAAUUAUUUUUUAAAUCUUAUAUUGGUACAUAAUGUAGUACUGACUGAAGAUGGGGAGCUUACAGUUCUUUGUUACAAAUGAACAUACUUAUUUCUAAGAGAUGUCAGCUAAUACUGUAAUAUUUACUGGAUUUGCUCCUGUGUUCGUCUUCUACUUUUUCUUAAAACUUUAAUUUUUUAGUGUAAAUCAUGCUCACAGGUGUCUUGGACUGCAACUGAUUGUUACGUCUGAACUUGUUUUUUUAACUGGCACUAACUAAUGGCAGAUAUAAGUGAGCUCUCGAUGUUGACUGUGCUACGACACUUUUGGUUUAAACAAGUGUAUAGAAAAAUGUAUUUUAUGUGUUUGGAUGUUGUAAUAAAUUUGUAACAAAAUGA